UAUCGCUUAAAUUAAUAUCACUUUUAGGUACAAAUAGCUCCUGUCGACAGUCGGAGCACGAUUUAAUGUUAUUCGUGAUCUAAUGACGGCGUUUCGAAAGGGCUGUUGUCAUAUAACUUAACUAAAACAACGGCGAGUGACUAGAGUAAAUCACAGCAAAGUGACAAAAAGUCGUAACGACAGGAUUUGUAAAACGACAUUUUACAAUAACAUUGUUAAAUUAAUAAAUAUGCAAAAUGCAUUACGAAUUUCAAUUUAAACCUCUCACGGUAUUGUUGAAAUUUGAAAGCAAUUGGCGCAAGUAAAGAAUGGAUGA